rnacentral:rRNA from 1 species
CCCGCAACGAGCGCAACCCUUGUCCUUAGUUGCUAACGAGUCAAGUCGAGAACCCUAAGGAAACUGUCGGUGAUAAACCGGAGGAAGGUGGGGAUGACGUCAAGUCCUCAUGGCCUUUAUGUCCAGGGCUACACACGUGCUACAAUGGGCGGUACAAAGGGUCGCAAACCCGCGAGGGGGAGCCAAUCCCAUAAAACCGUUCUCAGUUCGGAUUGCAGCUUGAGUCUGGACUGCAUGAAGCUGGAAUCGCUAGUAAUCGCGGAUCAGCAUGCCGCGGUGAAUACGUUCCCGG